GGGUGACGAGGUGGUGCAUGGUUGUCGGUCAGCUCGUGUCGUGAGAUGUUGGGUUAAGUCCCGCAACGAGCGCAACCCUCGACCUUAGUUGCCAGCAUUCAGUUGGGCACUCUAAGGUGACUGCCGGCUAAAAGUCGGAGGAAGGUGGGGAUGACGUCAAAUCAUCAUGCCCCUUAUGACCUGGGCUACACACGUGCUACAAUGGGCGGUACAAAGGGUCGCGAACCCGCGAGGGGGAGCCAAUCCCAAAAAGCCGCUCUCAGUUCGGAUUGCAGGCUGCAACUCGCCUGCAUGAAGCCGGAAUCGCUAGUAAUCGCGGAUCCAGCAUGCCGCGGUGAAUACGUUCCCGGGCCUU
rnacentral:rRNA from 1 species